rnacentral:tRNA from 1 species
AGGCGUAUAGCUUAGUGGUCAGACCGCUUGGACGGUAAACAAGAGGCGCGGAUUCGAAACCCCCUACGCAUU